rnacentral:pre_miRNA from 1 species
CUAGUACUCCCUCAGUCCGGAAAUGCUUGUCAUCGAAAUGGAUAAAAGAAGAUGUAUCUAGAACUAAAAUACAUCUAGAUACAUCUCAUUUAUUCAUUUUGAUGACAAGUAUUUUUGGACGGAGGAAGUAUCAU